rnacentral:siRNA from 1 species
UACCAACUUCAGGGCCUGGAA